rnacentral:rRNA from 1 species
ACUAGCGACCAUACCACGUUGAAAGCACCGGUUCUCGUUCCAUCACCACACUUACGCAAAGUUGGGCCUGGUCUGUAGUUGCAUUAGUGACCGACUGGGAAUACCGGGUGUCACCGGCU